rnacentral:rRNA from 1 species
GAACCUUCGGGGAACGAUAACGGCGUCGAGCGGCGGACGGGUGAGUAAUGCCUAGGAAAUUGCCCUGAUGUGGGGGAUAACCAUUGGAAACGAUGGCUAAUACCGCAUGAUGCCUACGGGCCAAAGAGGGGGACCUUCGGGCCUCUCGCGUCAGGAUAUGCCUAGGUGGGAUUAGCUAGUUGGUGAGGUAAGGGCUCACCAAGGCGACGAUCCCUAGCUGGUCUGAGAGGAUGAUCAGCCACACUGGAACUGAGACACGGUCCAGACUCCUACGGGAGGCAGCAGUGGGGAAUAUUGCACAAUGGGCGCAAGCCUGAUGCAGCCAUGCCGCGUGUGUGAAGAAGGCCUUCGGGUUGUAAAGCACUUUCAGUCGUGAGGAAGGU